rnacentral:rRNA from 1 species
CCGACGGGUGAGUAACACGUAUGCAAUCCACCCUCGUAACAGGGGGAGUAACCCAACGAAAUACCGGACUAAUACCCACUAAUAUGGGCGCUCCGCAUGGAGAGUUCAUUAAAGAGAGCAAUUUUGGUUACAGACGAGCAUGCGCUCCAUUAGCCAGUUGGCGGGGUAACGGCCCACCAAGGCGACGAUGGAUAGGGGUUCUGAGAGGAAGGUCCCCCACAUUGGAACUGAGACACGGUCCAA